UAAAAGAAAGAUCAGUUCUAUUAUUACAUUUUAAAACACUAACAUACUAAGCUCAAGGUAAAACAGGAUGCCCACCUCAACUCUACUUUCAGACCAAACAUAUUGUUGUAACUCCAGUAGCAGAGCGAAAGGGUUGAUGUGUGUGCAACCUACUGACACACGUGACUCAGGCAAUUGACACAGUUCAACGAUUGUCAAUUAACAAGGGACAGUACUACUACUACACGCAAAUAUGACCCAUGUUAUGGUCAUGUGAUUGAAAGCCUUCCUGGACGAGAGGCAAAGUGUGUUAGGAGCUCAGUUAAGAACAGCCAGGCAGGACAGUGCAGUACAAUGUGAUUCCUCGAGAAUGUUGCUGUAUCAGCCCAGGAGGAGACAGAAUAGAGGCUCGCAAAGACGUUCCUUCAGGGAACAGUACCAGGAAGAAGAAGUGCCCAAGCUACAAAUGAUAUUAAAAUAUGUAGUGCACCUGUCUAGAUCUCACCAUAUUUUUAGUUAUUCGCGAUUCAAUCUUUCCUUUUAAACUUGGCCUAAAUUGAUCGUAACCUGCUGGUUAUAAAAUCAUGUAUGAGUAGUAGAAAUUUUGAAAGAGACUUUGAAACAGCAGUCCACCAAGUCAUUGCAUAUCGGCAAGACAGUGAGAUAAUCCAUCAAGAAAUGUUUUCAGGUAGAUGUUUUCAUUCGCCCAAUAUUUUGAAUCUACGUAUUUGAAGAUAUAUAUUUUUUUUUAAUCUGUCGUUUAGCCCUUCCGCGAAA